GGCAAGGUGGCCUAGUGGAAUGAUUGUGGCCUAAUGAUCCACAAGUUGCUGGUUCAAGCCCUGCUGAGGAUG